rnacentral:rRNA from 1 species
GAUGAACGCUGGCGGCGUGCCUAAUACAUGCAAGUCGAGCGAACGGACGAGAAGCUUGCUUCUCUGAUGUUAGCGGCGGACGGGUGAGUAACACGUGGAUAACCUACCUAUAAGACUGGGAUAACUUCGGGAAACCGGAGCUAAUACCGGAUAAUAUUUUGAACCGCAUGGUUCAAAAGUGAAAGACGGUCUUGCUGUCACUUAUAGAUGGAUCCGCGCUGCAUUAGCUAGUUGGUAAGGUAACGGCUUACCAAGGCAACGAUGCAUAGCCGACCUGAGAGGAUGAUCGGCCACACUGGAACUGAGACACGGUCCAGACUCCUACGGGAGGCAGCAGUAGGGAAUCUUCCGCAAUGGGCGAAAGCCUGACGGAGCAACGCCGCGUGAGUGAUGAAGGUCUUCGGAUCGUAAAACUCUGUUAUUAGGGAAGAACAUAUGUGGAAGUAACUGUGCACAUCUUGACGGUACCUAAUCAGAAAGCCACGGCUAACUACGUG